AUUGAACGCUGGCGGCAUGCUUUACACAUGCAAGUCGAACGGUAACAGGUUAAGCUGACGAGUGGCGAACGGGUGAGUAACGCAUCGGAACGUGCCCGAUCGUGGGGGAUAACGCAGCGAAAGCUGCGCUAAUACCGCAUAAGAUCCGAGGAUGAAAGCGGGGGACUUUAUAGCAAUAUGAGGCCUCGCGCGAUCGGAGCGGCCGAUGUCAGAUUAGGUAGUUGGCGGGGUAAAGGCCCACCAAGCCGACGAUCUGGAGCUGGUCUGAGGGGACGACCAGCCACACUGGGACUGAGACACGGCCCAGACUCCUACGGGAGGCAGCAGUGGGGAAUUUUGGACAAUGGGCGCAAGCCUGAUCCAGCAAUGCCGCGUGCAGGAAGAAGGCCUUCGGGUUGUAAACUGCUUUUGUACGGAGCGAAAAGGUCUUCUCUAAUAAAGAAGGCUGAUGACGGUACCGUAAGAAUAAGCACCGGCUAACUACGUGCCAGCCGCCGCAGUAAAAC
rnacentral:rRNA from 1 species